UGGGGAAUAUUGGACAAUGGGGGGAACCCUGAUCCAGCCAUGCCGCGUGUGUGAAGAAGGCCUUAUGGUUGUAAAGCACUUUAAGCGAGGAGGAGGGUACUGGUAUUAAUACUACCAGCUACUGGACGUUACUCGCAGAAUAAGCACCGGCUAACUCUGUGCCAGCAGCCGCGGUAAUACAGAGGGUGCGAGCGUUAAUCGGAUUUACUGGGCGUAAAGCGUGCGUAGGCGGCUAAUUGAGUCGGAUGUGAAAUCCCCGAGCUUAACUUGGGAAUUGCAUUCGAUACUGGUUAGCUAGAGUGUGGGAGAGGAUGGUAGAAUUCCAGGUGUAGCGGUGAAAUGCGUGGAGAUCUGGAGGAAUACCGAUGGCGAAGGCAGCCAUCUGGCCUAACACUGACGCUGAGGUACGAAAGCAUGGGGAGCAAACAGG
rnacentral:rRNA from 1 species